UACGGAGGGGGCUAGCGUUGUUCGGAAUUACUGGGCGUAAAGGGCGCGUAGGCGGCCAGCACAAGUCAGUUGUGAAAAUCUCCGAGCUUAACUCGGAACGGUCAACUGAUACUGUGCGGCUAGAGUGCGGAAGGGGCAACUGGAAUUCUUGGUGUAGCGGUGAAAUGCGUAGAUAUCGGGAGGAACACCAGUGGCGAAGGCGGCACUCUGGGCCGGUACUGACGCUGAGGAGCGAAAGCGUGGGGAGCGAACAGG
rnacentral:rRNA from 1 species